rnacentral:rRNA from 1 species
GGAUUCAGUUAGUAGCUUUUUGAUGCGGCGCAAGCCAAAUCGAGAAGUAGUUGGUUGACCGUAAUUAGGAGAAAUCCUUCCAGCUGCACUGAUUGGAUUCAGAGUUUAAUCAACCCCCUGUGAACUAUAAACCCGUACUGUUAUUGUCUUUUGGGUGGUACUGAAGCUGUUUACAGUCGAUGUGCUGCCCAGAAGCGAUAGCGCUUUAUUGAACUACUAAACGAAUUAUAUCUAUACGCAAAAUCUCUUUAUUAUUUAAUAAUAAUAAUUGACAACUUUUAACAGUGGAUCUCUAGGCUCGUGGAUCGAUGAAGAGCGCAGCAAAAUGCGAUACGUAAUGUGAAUUGCAGAAUUCAGUGAAUCAUCGAAUCCUUGAACGCAAAUUGCGGUGUUGGGUAUUCCCGGCACCAUGCUUGGUUGAGUGUCACUUAAUCUAACAAAAUUCAAUUUAUUUUGGGUAUUGUUACAGAUGAGGUUACGAGGCGUCUAUUUAAUAGAACUUCGAACCUUUAAUGACUAGCAAGACGCAUGACUUUUGAAGUUCAUUGCAGCUACUUGUGUGGCAAUAUUGUUUCGACAAUUUAAAGCGCAUGUUGGCUCAGUGGAUGUUAAUUCUUAAAUCAUUGCUGUUCUUACAAAUCUGACUCUAUAUGUCUUCGGACUUAGAAUUUUGACCUCAGCUCA